rnacentral:rRNA from 1 species
GACGAACGCUGGCGGCAUGCCUUACACAUGCAAGUCGAACGGACCUAGCAAUAGGUUAGUGGCGAACGGGUGAGUAAUACAUGAGCAACCUGCCUCAAACAGGGGGAUAACACCGGGAAACUGGUGCUAAUACCGCAUAAGACCACAGCGCGGCAUCGCGCAGGGGUAAAAACGAUUCAGUGGUUUGAGAUGGGCUCAUGUCCCAUUAGCUAGUUGGUGAGAUAACAGCCCACCAAGGCGACGAUGGGUAGCCGACCUGAGAGGGUGAUCGGCCACAUUGGGACUGAGACACGGCCCAGACUCCUACGGGAGGCAGCAGUGGGGAAUAUUGGGCAAUGGGCGAAAGCCUUACCCAGCAAUGCCGCGUGAGUGAAGAAGGUCUUCGGAUUGUAAAGCUCUUUGAUCAGGGACGAACACAAUGACGGUACCUGAAGAACAAGCCCCGGCUAACUACGUGCCAGCCGCCGCUGUAAUAC